AAAUCCAUAACGUGUAUAAAAAAUACUACAAAAUUUUAAAAGUACUAAUGUAUAUGAAAGCUGCAAGGUGUGUGACCUAGAGAGGGAACUGUUGAGGAAAACUUUUGAAUAACUUGUUAAUUUCCUUGCGGCCAUUCAAGAACCUCAAAAGAAAACAAACAGAACAGAAAGUUUAAAAAAGAUACAAUCAAAUAUAUUGUUUAGAACGUAGUGGGUCUUUUUCACGUACAAAAGCAAAUGCGCUGCUGGGAUAACUGGUUCAUAAUGACGCGGAGCGAGCCAAAAGCCAGAAUUGAAGAAAGGAGCGUUCGCAACAAAUUCGUUUCUACAUUUUCUCUGCAUAGGCUGACACAUCGAUAUGCUGUAUGGUUAGUGCUCGUGCCUAAGAAAUACCGUUUCUAGUUUAAAUCGGUAUUUCUUUUUUUUUUGCUUACAUAGAACAGAAAAUGUGGCCGGCCACACUGGCAAGAUUUCUUAUCGAACCCACACGAAUAUCAUCCCUGAUUUCACGGUAUAUUGAGUUGAAGGUAUAUUUGCAGGGUGAACGCAAAUCGCUAUAUAACGGUAUAUUUAAGAUAGUAACACUUUCCACACAUUUUCGAGACGGCAUUAAGUAGGGGGAACCCCCGUCAUCAGCAGGUUAUAAAUAUAAAGAAAUGCGAGCAAAGAUAUUAAACGAUAGUACAAAUAUGAGUCUCAACCUGAUACAAAAACAUGGCUCUGCAGAGGUAAAAAUUCAGUUGUUUUGCUGGCCGCUAGAACCAAAAUUUGAGCUGUUGCACGUUUGUAUUUGCAUACAACAAAAGAAUACAACACAAAACAGAUUAACACAAGAACAGCCCAAAAUAGAGCACAAAAUGAAGUCAAUUAAUAGCUUGUUGCCCUUGGAUUGUGUCAGCUGCAGAAGAUCACGGAUUUCCUUGAGAAUGUGCCACAGCCUGUGCCGUUUUUUAAGAUGCGGAAGAAAGAAAUAGAGAGGGUCGGGGAUCCGGUGGCUUCUUGCUUUUUGGAUAAACUCUCUGUAAGAGAUAAGCAGGAGAGCCAAAUUCUGAAGAUACUUUCUGCACGUAGACAUGAAAUCCAGUCCAUGCAGGCCUGCCGGAAUCGGAAUACGCUGCUCGCGGCAUAUGCCCAGCAACUGGUGGACAGAGAGGUGCGCAGAGGUCCUUGAGCAGCUUCGGUUCUCGGCCAGCGUCUGCUGUUGCUCCCCAUUGACCGACUGGAAGCAGGAUAUGACCUUUCCGAAUGCCUCCUCUUCAAGUGCCGUCAAGUUCGCGAACAUGAGUCUGUUGCCGUGCAGUAGGAAGUCGAUCCACUCUUGGAAAGUGAUCAGUCGCAGCUGGAAUGGGAGGCACUGCAAGAAAGAUUGGUGGAAAGGUGAAGCCUGUGGGGUGGAUUUUGCAGCAUUUCACCAUUGAAUCUCCACUCUGAGAAUCAAGGCGGUGGUUCUCGUCUAGCCGCUUGAGGAAUAUCUUGCUCAGCUUAAGAUUUAUCUGGGGAUACUGACUCACUGGCACAUAGUGCCCAAACGUCCUUUGUCAAUCAUCUAAUAAUGCACUGUGAACAAUUUCGUAGUCAAUUAAUGGACAGCCAACAGACCAAAAAACAGAAUAAUCUUACGAUACUACGAACAUACAUACAUACAUACAUACACAUGUACAUGUCAGGCAGUGCUGCCAAAAAACGUAAAUAAUGGUGUCAACAAUUUUGUAUUAAAGUGAUAUUUAAUAUGUAUUUAAUAGUAUUUUAUUCACUCAUCCAGCUCUGUGGGGCUAGCUUCUGAUUCGCAUUCAUACGACAUGGUCGUACCAAUUAUGCGUAGGUAAUUACUAUGUGGUACUCCGUAGUCAAAACAGCAUUUUCCAAGUCGUCACAAGCAAUACCUGUAUAUUUAAAUAAAAACUAGUAAUAUCCUUUGACUGACAAUAAAACUUUACCUUAUGCACAGAA